UAGGGAAUCUUCCACAAUGGACGCAAGUCUGAUGGAGCAACGCCGCGUGAGUGAAGAAGGUCUUCGGAUCGUAAAACUCUGUUGUUAGAGAAGAACACGAGUGAGAGUAACUGUUCAUUCGAUGACGGUAUCUAACCAGCAAGUCACGGCUAACUACGUGCCAGCAGCCGCGGUAAUACGUAGGUGGCAAGCGUUGUCCGGAUUUAUUGGGCGUAAAGGGAACGCAGGCGGUCUUUUAAGUCUGAUGUGAAAGGCAGUGGCUCAACCAUUGUAGGCUUUGGAAACUGUUUAACUUGAGUGCAGAAGGGGAGAGUGGAAUUCCAUGUGUAGCGGUGAAAUGCGUAGAUAUAUGGAGGAACACCGGUGGCGAAAGCGGCUCUCUGGUCUGUAACUGACGCUGAGGCUCGAAAGCGUGGGGAGCGAACAGGAUUAGAUACCCUGGUAGUCCACGCCGUAAACGAUGAGUGCUAGGUGUUAGGUCCUUUCCGGGACUUAGUGCCGCAGCUAACGCAUUAAGCACUCCGCCUGGGGAGUACGACCGCAAGGUUG
rnacentral:rRNA from 1 species